rnacentral:lncRNA from 1 species
GCAGGUCACUCAAAGUUUGCUGGCCAGUAGAGGGCGGCACUGCCGCACUUGCCAGAGCAGCACAGAAAUAAAGGCAACCACCACUCAAGUCAAGAACAUUUCACACUAACAUAAAAAGUCCUUAUCAAGAGCAUAAACUAUCAUUGCACACACCACACAAAAAAUUGAAAAAUCUUAUAUGCCUCUCCUUUACCCCUUUCAAUCCACAUAUCAAUCUCUCCUCCCUUACACUCUCUCCCAAUAUUUCUCCCCCUUUGGCAUUAAUCUCCAAAA